rnacentral:rRNA from 1 species
GGGUUGUGAGGUUAAGCGACUAAGCGUACACGGUGGAUGCCCUGGCAGUCAGAGGCGAUGAAGGACGUGCUAAUCUGCGAUAAGCGUCGGUAAGGUGAUAUGAACCGUUAUAACCGGCGAUUUCCGAAUGGGGAAACCCAGUGUGUUUCGACACACUAUCAUUAACUGAAUCCAUAGGUUAAUGAGGCGAACCGGGGGAACUGAAACAUCUAAGUACCCCGAGGAAAAGAAAUCAACCGAGAUUCCCCCAGUAGCGGCGAGCGAACGGGGAGCAGCCCAGAGCCUGAAUCAGUAUGUGUGUUAGUGGAAGCGUCUGGAAAGGCGCGCGAUACAGGGUGACAGCCCCGUACACAAAAAUGCACAUAUUGUGAGCUCGAUGAGUAGGGCGGGACACGUGGUAUCCUGUCUGAAUAUGGGGGGACCAUCCUCCAAGGCUAAAUACUCCUGACUGACCGAUAGUGAACCAGUACCGUGGGAAGGCCCGAAAAGAGAACCCCUAAGCGAGGGGUGAAAAGAACCACAGAAACCGUGUACGUACAAGCAGUGGGAGCACGCUUAGGCGUGUGACUGCGUACCUUUUGUAUAAUGGGUCAGCGACUUAUAUUCUGUAGCAAGGUUAACCGAAUAGGGGAGCCGAAGGGAAACCGAGUCUUAACUGGGCGUUAAGUUGCAGGGUAUAGACCCGAAACCCGGUGAUCUAGCCAUGGGCAGGUUGAAGGUUGGGUAACACUAACUGGAGGACCGAACCGACUAAUGUUGAAAAAUUAGCGGAUGACUUGUGGCUGGGGGUGAAAGGCCAAUCAAACCGGGAGAUAGCUGGUUCUCCCCGAAAGCUAUUUAGGUAGCGCCUCGUGAAUUCAUCUCCGGGGGUAGAGCACUGUUUCGGCAAGGGGGUCAUCCCGACUUACCAACCCGAUGCAAACUGCGAAUACCGGAGAAUGUUAUCACGGGAGACACACGGCGGGUGCUAACGUCCGUCGUGAAGAGGGAAACAACCCAGACCGCCAGCUAAGGUCCCAAAGUCAUGGUUAAGUGGGAAACGAUGUGGGAAGGCCCAGACAGCCAGGAUGUUGGCUUAGAAGCAGCCAUCAUUUAAAGAAAGCGUAAUAGCUCACUGGUCGAGUCGGCCUGCGCGGAAGAUGUAACGGGGCUAAACCAUGCACCGAAGCUGCGGCAGCGACACUUAUGUGUUGUUGGGUAGGGGAGCGUUCUGUAAGCCUGUGAAGGUGUGCUGUGAGGCAUGCUGGAGGUAUCAGAAGUGCGAAUGCUGACAUAAGUAACGAUAAAGCGGGUGAAAAGCCCGCUCGCCGGAAGACCAAGGGUUCCUGUCCAACGUUAAUCGGGGCAGGGUGAGUCGACCCCUAAGGCGAGGCCGAAAGGCGUAGUCGAUGGGAAACAGGUUAAUAUUCCUGUACUUGGUGUUACUGCGAAGGGGGGACGGAGAAGGCUAUGUUGGCCGGGCGACGGUUGUCCCGGUUUAAGCGUGUAGGCUGGUUUUCCAGGCAAAUCCGGAAAAUCAAGGCUGAGGCGUGAUGACGAGGCACUACGGUGCUGAAGCAACAAAUGCCCUGCUUCCAGGAAAAGCCUCUAAGCAUCAGGUAACAUCAAAUCGUACCCCAAACCGACACAGGUGGUCAGGUAGAGAAUACCAAGGCGCUUGAGAGGCACAGGGUGGAAGAAUUGCGGCGAUAGUUGCCGUAACUUCGGGAGAAGGCACGCUGAUAUGUAGGUGAAGUCCCUCGCGGAUGGAGCUGAAAUCAGUCGAAGAUACCAGAUGGCUGACUGCAACUGUUUAUUAAAAACACAGCACUGUGCAAACACGAAAGUGGACGUAUACGGUGUGACGCCUGCCCGGUGCCGGAAGGUUAAUUGAUGGGGUUAGCCGCAAGGCGAAGCUCUUGAUCGAAGCCCCGGUAAACGGCGGCCGUAACUAUAACGGUCCUAAGGUAGCGAAAUUCCUUGUCGGGUAAGUUCCGACCUGCACGAAUGGCGUAAUGAUGGCCAGGCUGUCUCCACCCGAGACUCAGUGAAAUUGAACUCGCUGUGAAGAUGCAGUGUACCCGCGGCAAGACGGAAAGACCCCGUGAACCUUUACUAUAGCUUGACACUGAACAUUGAGCCUUGAUGUGUAGGAUAGGUGGGAGGCUUUGAAGUGUGGACGCCAGUCUGCAUGGAGCCGACCUUGAAAUACCACCCUUUAAUGUUUGAUGUUCUAACGUUGACCCGUAAUCCGGGUUGCGGACAGUGUCUGGUGGGUAGUUUGACUGGGGCGGUCUCCUCCUAAAGAGUAACGGAGGAGCACGAAGGUUGGCUAAUCCUGGUCGGACAUCAGGAGGUUAGUGCAAUGGCACUUAAGCCAAAGCGACGCUGCGAGCGGCGGCGCGGCAGGUACUGGCAGGUCAUAGUGAUCCGGUGGUUCUGAAUGGAAGGGCCAUCGCUCAACGGAUAAAAGGUACUCCGGGGAUAACAGGCUGAUACCGCCCAAGAGUUCAUAUCGACGGCGGUGUUUGGCACCUCGAUGUCGGCUCAUCACAUCCUGGGGCUGAAGUAGGUCCCAAGGGUAUGGCUGUUCGCCAUUUAAAGUGGUACGCGAGCUGGGUUUAGAACGUCGUGAGACAGUUCGGUCCCUAUCUGCCGUGGGCGCUGGAGAACUGAGGGGGGCUGCUCCUAGUACGAGAGGACCGGAGUGGACGCAUCACUGGUGUUCGGGUUGUCAUGCCAAUGGCACUGCCCGGUAGCUAAAUGCGGAAGAGAUAAGUGCUGAAAGCAUCUAAGCACGAAACUUGCCCCGAGAUGAGUUCUCCCUGACUCCUUGAGAGUCCUGAAGGAACGUUGAAGACGACGACGUUGAUAGGCCGGGUGUGUAAGCGCAGCGAUGCGUUGAGCUAACCGGUACUAAUGAACCGUGAGGCUUAACCUUACAACGCCGAAGGUGUUU